CCAUCCGGUAGCAAUACCGGUGAAGACCUAGUGGCGAACGGGUGAGUAACACGUGAGCAACCUGCCCCGAAGACCGGGAUAACAGCGGGAAACCGCUGCUAAUACCGGAUAUCCCCACCGAAUCGCAUGGAUUGGUGAGGAAAUGGAUUCCGCUUCGGGAGGGGCUCGCGGCCUAUCAGCUUGUUGGUGGGGUAACGGCCCACCAAGGCGACGACGGGUAGCUGGUCUGAGAGGACGAUCAGCCACACUGGGACUGAGACACGGCCCAGACUCCUACGGGAGGCAGCAGUGGGGAAUAUUGCGCAAUGGGCGAAAGCCUGACGCAGCAACGCCGCGUGAGGGAUGAAGGCCUUCGGGUUGUAAACCUCUUUCGAGCAGGGACGAUAAUGACGGUACCUGCAGAAGAAGCUCCGGCCAAC
rnacentral:rRNA from 1 species